rnacentral:lncRNA from 1 species
UGUCAAAUAACGAUGUGUCUUCUCAUUUCAUUGUAGAGGAAAAGAGGACUUGGGAAGUUGGGCUGCAUUUAAUGACCUGGCUAAAAGGAGCUACAAAGAACUAUGCCAGGGACACUGAUGAAAGGGAAGAAAAGGCAUCCACUCAGAAUCCUGCAAUGUAUUCGCUGCAGAUGGGGGUCGCCACUGCAUAAUUACUUCGAAUCAGUCUUCAAGAGAAAUACAGUGCAAGCAGUCAAGCACCCCAAAAAGCAAAAGGAUCAUACUGAGGAUUAAAGUCACAGCUAAGAAAGAAGACUUCAAAAGCAAGAAAGUAUAUAAAACUCAAGCAAAUAAAUCUAAUGAACAAAAAGAUAACAGCAGAUUUCAGUCAAGAUUCUAGCUUCUACUAGGUAAUCACAUAGUAGCCUUAAAAUAGACAUCAAUCCU